AGCAGCCGCGGUAAUUCCAGCUCCAAUAGCGUAUAUUAAAGUUGUUGCAGUUAAAAAGCUCGUAGUUGAAUUUCGGGAUCAGUUGGUCGGUCGUGCCUCAGUACGUACUGGUCAAAUUGAUUCCUACCUUCUGACGAACCACGAUGUCAUUAAUUUGGUGUCGCGGGAAAUCAGGACUGUUACUUUGAAAAAUUAGAGUGUUUAAAGCAGGCUCGCGCUUGAAUACAUUAGCAUGGAAUAAUGAAAUAGGACGUUUGAUUCUAUUUUGUUGGUUUCUAGGAUCGACGUAAUGAUUAAUAGGGAUAGUUGGAGGCAUUAGUAUUCAAUUGUCAGAGGUGAAAUUCUUGGAUUUAUUGAAGACUAACUACUGCGAAAGCAUUUGCCAAGGAUGUUUUCAUUAAUCAAGAACGAAAGUUAGGGGAUCGAAGACGAUCAGAUACCGUCGUAGUCUUAACCAUAAACUAUGCCGACUAGGGAUCGGAUGAUGUUAAUUUUUAAUGACUCAUUCGGCGCCUUAAC
rnacentral:rRNA from 1 species